AUGUCUGGACCGCACAGGGGCUGUGCUCCUAGAGGGGCCGCCCAGCCUCCCACCCGGACGUUCUCCUGGCGCCCGGCUCCAAGCGGAGCGCAAGUUUGCGGACACUACCGGGGAUCUGGAGGGCUCUCGACCUCUGCGGAGAACUGCAGUGAGCUUUCAGGGAGUGCGAGGCACCCUGAGAGGCCAACCGGUCCCCGGCUGUUCCCCAGCGAGGUUGGCACAGCUGCAAGGAAAUGCCGCAGCCACACGCUAAACGAGUCACACGGAAACGAGCCAUCCGGGCUGUCGGAUCAGCUUUUAGGGAAGAAAAUCAAGAACAUAAAAAAAUCUGACAGUGCAGAGAAAAGAUGCACACACACGUGGAAUGAUGAAGACUAAUUGAAGAAAAUCAGAAGAAUGAACUCAUUUCCUGCUCCCAUAUGAGCAUUCACAACCAUACAGAAAGGAGAGGAAUGGCAGGAAGAGGCUCCAGCAAAAACAGCUCAGAAGCCAGGAACAAGCUCCCUUCUUCAUAGAUGGGGAGCAACAGCCACUCUGUCACCGUAGUCCUCAUCCAGGUGGGGUGGGAGAAAAGAUGAAUGGAAAUGUGCAGGCUAAUGAAACAAUUGCAUGGUGGAAGGAAUGCUUGCCCUUUUUAUCAAUGGGCUUGCACUGGGCCAGCCUAGCAGCUAUCUCCUCGCUCCACUGGUAUUGCUGCACCUCCCUGUUGUUCUUCACCUUUUCAUUGAUCUCUUAUUUAUUACGUGUCCAUGUGCCUUCCCUCUCUUUCCCUCCCUCACCUGAUCAGAGUCCCCACCUCUUCUCUAAAGCCUGUCCCAACUCAUCCUUGUCCUUGGCAUUCUGCUGGUGGUUUCAUUUUCUGCUCUAAUUUGUGUGUGUGUGUGUGUGCAGGAGCUUUGCCUUUACAUUUUUUACACCUUCUGAUGAAUACGGAUACUUAAAUAAGUAUCCAAGCUUCCUGUCUUUCUUAUUUUCCUGUCAUGUGUUCAUUAAACUUCUCAGGCAAAAACUUUGCCUUGUGACGGUUAUGGGGGAGUUCAAUGCUAUCCAAGAAGAGAUUCCUGGAUUCAGAGAUUUGCAGACCAAGAGAGGAUAAUAAUAGUGUCCAAGGUGUACUGAUGGGUCAAGCAGAAUCCUUCCACUAUUUUAUGCUCAGAGGAAUUAUUGAACUAGACACUAAUGUUUUCCCAUUUCAGAUGAUGUCUGAGGCUCAGAAUGGUUAAGUGAGUUGCCAGGAUCAUCACAGCUGGUAAAUGAUGAAGAUGAGCAUGGAGCUGAGACUCUAACCCAAAACCUGAGCCCUGAGCACAGUGUUACCCUGGUUGUUACCCAAGUAACAGUAGUGCAAGAGUGCUAACAGCAAAAAAGAAGCAGAAACUAAGAGUUGCAUGGUGUCAGACAAUGGGGAUGAGGACCACAGAUGUUUCAUGAAAACAAUUUUUUUUUUUUUUUUUGGUUUUUUGAGACAGGGUCUCACUAUGUAGUUGAGACUGACCUGGAACUCACUAUGUAGCCCAGGGUGUUCUCAAACUCACAGCGAUCCUCCUGCCUCAGCCUCCCGAGUGCUGGGAUUACAAGCAUGAGCCACCACACCUGGCUCCUCCUGAAAACAUUUUGUCUGGGAAGUAGUGAGUUCCAAGGCUUUGAAGGUACUCAAGUAGAAUGAAGUGUCCUUGAGGAGAUCCUUCCAGCCCUGAGAAUGACGACUUUAGCAAGUGGCCUACAAACUGGGCCCAGAACAAACGCUUCUUGAUGAGGGAGAAGAUGUAAGGGUUGAAAAAAAAAAGCCAGGGACCAAAUCCCCAGAGCUAGAAAACACAACAACAGGAGCCUCUCGCUUGGGCUGAAUCCUCAUAAGCCACAAAGCUCACAACAAACUUGAGUCAGGAAUUUGCUGCACAACGAUGUCGUGAUCAACAACGGACCAUGUAUAUACAGUAGUUCCAUUACAUUGUAAUGGAGCUGAAAAGUCCCAUUGCCUAGUACUUUUACUGUACCUUGUCCAUAUUUAGAUAUAUUUAGAUACACAAACACUGUUGUGCUAUAUGACUGCUUGCGGUAUUCAGUAAAACAGCAUGCUGUACAGCUAGCUAAUAGACUAGAAGCGAUAGUCUAUACCACCAAGCCUGAGUGUCGAUAUCUACACCAUCUAAGUUAGUGUAAGUGUCCACUAUGAUGUUUACACAACGACUAAAUCUCUCAAUGACAUAUUUCUUAGAACACACGCCAUUGUUAAGAGAUGUAAAACCGUAUACAAUCAGAGCUGCUGCUCGACAGUUGAAAUGUGAUCCUUUAAGACAGCGGUUCUCACACUAUGCCUCCAAAUUUAUUUCAUAAGAUUUCACAACUUGGACAUGGAAGCUGCACAGGUAAAAUUAAAUCACUGCUGUUAAUACCAGCUUUACAUGAGCAUCCUAAAGGCAUCUCAACUUCAGUGGAUUUCAAUGUAAGUUUUUUCUUAAAUGUUCCUUAAGGCUUUAGCACUAUUCCUAUAGUCUUCCAGUGAACACAGAUACAAUAAAACAAGUAAAUGAGGGUAGCUGACAAAUAUUCGAAGAAAAACAUAGAAAUAAACAAUUAGACUUGGUAUAACAGCUUGUUGGGGUUUUUUUUUCAGGCAGCUGGUGGUAAUGUUAAAUUGCAUACAUAUAUUAGAGAGUCAUACUUUCUACCCAUAAAAUUGUUCUUAGAUCAUUUAAUAGAAAUGAGCACCUCAAUAUUUCAUGCUAUUUUCGAAAGAGCACCACAGAUUUGGGUGCCCCACUUGCCUUCCUAAUACAAUGUGAUAAUUGUACAAUUAUUUAACUAUGUGGUAGAUAAAAAUGUAGCGAUUCCAUAUGCAUUGUUGUUAGGCUGGUGAAGGGUGCUUUGAAAUGCUGGUGGGAAACGGUUCAAUGUAGGAAUAUAAAAGACAAGAAAGGAUCCCAAGCCUUGACUCCCAUUAGCAGUGCUUCUCCACUCCAGUGAGGACAUAUCAGAAUCAUUCUGGCUUUUCUAACCCGCACCCCCUCAGGGAAUAAACUACCAGGCUCAAUCCUAGUCUGUGGCCUGUAAGAAAUUCUGAGGCCAUACAAGGAAGAAAGUAGGUACCAUUUGAAAAGGCCUGACAGGUGAUUUCCACUCAUUCAUCUGCUUAGGAACAACUGUCUGAACCCCAAUGAACAGGGCCUUUAAUGAUACUUCCAUGACAAUCUCAAUCUUCAUUUUACAAGCAAGAC
rnacentral:lncRNA from 1 species